rnacentral:rRNA from 1 species
GAUGAACGCUGGCGGCGUGCCUAAUACAUGCAAGUCGAGCGAACGGACGAGAAGCUUGCUUCUCUGAUGUUAGCGGCGGACGGGAGAGUAACACGUGGAUAACCUACCUAUAAGACUGGGAUAACUUCGGGAAACCGGAGCUAAUACCGGAUAAUAUUUUGAACCGCAUGGUUCAAAAGUGAAAGACGGUCUUGCUGUCACUUAUAGAUGGAUCCGCGCUGCAUUAGCUAGUUGGUAAGGUAACGGCUUACCAAGGCAACGAUGCAUAGCCGACCUGAGAGGAUGAUCGGCCACACUGGAACUGAGACACGGUCCAGACUCCUACGGGAGGCAGCAGUAGGGAAUCUUCCGCAAUGGGCGAAAGCCUGACGGAGCAACGCCGCGUGAGGGAUGAAGGUCUUCGGAUCGUAAAACUCUGUUAUUAGGGAAGAACAUAUUUGUAAUUAACUGUGCACAUCUUGACGGUACCUAAUCAGAAAGCCACGGCUAACUACGUG